rnacentral:rRNA from 1 species
AUGUCGUCGCUCGCGGUUGCCUGCGGGCUGGGCUUGGAGCUCUGGCUCGGGGGCCUCUUCUCGGCCGCGGAGCUGGCGGCAGCGGAACUCCUCCUGCAGCUCGGCGGGGACGACAAGAAGGUGCUGUCCACGACGUCCUCCUCGCGGCGGUCGGUGAGCUCGUGGAGCAAGGCUGACCACACCGCGGAGAAGUGUGUCGUCGAGGAGACAGCGUCGCUUGAGCUGGACAGAAGGGCGAGGAUGAGGUACCGCCGGGUGUCCGACCUCUACACCGCCACGAUGCCGGCCAUGGACGCCUCUGCCGCGAAGAAGAGGAGGACGUGCGAGGUACGGAGACUAGCUUAG